AGAGUUUGAUCCUGGCUCAGGAUGAACGCUAGCGGCAGGCUUAACACAUGCAAGUCGAGGGGUAACACGGGUGCUUGCACCUGGUGACGACCAGCGGAUGGGUGAGUAACACGUAUGGAACCUGCCCCUUACUGGAGGAUAGCCCGGAGAAAUCCGGAUUAAUACUCCGUAAUAAAGGAAGUGGCAUCACUUCUUUUUGAAAGCUCCGGCGGUAAGGGAUGGCCAUGCGCCCGAUUAGCUUGUUGGUGGGGUAACGGCCCACCAAGGCGACGAUCGGUAGGGGGCCUGAGAGGGUUAUCCCCCACACUGGUACUGAGACACGGACCAGACUCCUACGGGAGGCAGCAGUGAGGAAUAUUGCGCAAUGGAGGCAACUCUGACGCAGCCAUGCCGCGUGCAGGAAGAAGGCGCUAAGCGUUGUAAACUGCUUUUGAUCGGAAAGAAACCCCGGGACGUGUCCCGGGUUGACGGUACCGGUCGAAUAAGCACCGGCUAACUUCGUGCCAGCAGCCGCGGUAAUACGAAGGGUGCAAGCGUUAUCCGGAUUCAUUGGGUUUAAAGGGUGCGUAGGCG
rnacentral:rRNA from 1 species